CAUCACUACGCUAGAUGCAUAUCAAUAAGCGGAGGAAAAGAAACUAACAAGGAUUCCCCUAGUAACGGCGAGUGAAGCGGGAAGAGCUCAAAUUUGAAAUCUUAAAGGGUUUCCCUUUACGAAUUGUAGUUUAAAGAAGUGUUUUCUGUUGGAGUUUCGGUAAAAGUUCUUUGGAAUAGGACAUCAUAGAGGGUGAGAAUCCCGUAUUUGGUCAUUCUUUCUAGCUUUGUGAUACACUUUCAAAGAGUCGGAUUGUUUGGGAAUGCAGUCCAAGAUGGGUGGUAAAUUUCAUCUAAAGCUAAAUAUUGGCGAGAGACCGAUAGCGAACAAGUACCGUGAGGGAAAGAUGAAAAGAACUUUGAAAAGAGAGUCAAACAGUACGUGAAAUUGUCAAAAGGGAAGCGUUUGACACCAGUGUUGUUUUUCCGAAAAUCAAUUAAAAAUUGAUUCAUGCCAGGUUGUAUUGACCUUAUCAGCUUGCAAUUUGGUUUUGGGUCUCUUUUUGAUGCACUUUUCGGUUAACAAGUCAACAUCAAUUUCCUUUGCUGUAAAAAGGUAAGAGGAAGGUGGCUUCAAUUUCGGUUGAAGUGUUUAUAGCCUCUUAUCUCUGCAGUCGGGGAGAUUGAGGUCUGCAGCGUAGAUCCUUCGGGGCUAGAUACAUUUAUGCUAAGUUAUAGCUUUUCAUAGACAACUUGUUGACUAUGUUUAGUCAUGUAGCUUACUCGUAAGUGCUAUUUUACCUACGCUUAGGAUGUUGACACACGCGCGUGCUCG
rnacentral:rRNA from 1 species